AGUGGCGGACGGGUGAGUAACGCGUGAGAAUCUACCUUCAGGACGGGGACAACAGCUGGAAACGGCUGCUAAUACCCGAUAUGCCGAAAGGUGAAAAGUUUUUUCGCCUGGAGAGGAGCUCGCGUCCGAUUAGCUAGUUGGUGAGGUAAAAGCUUACCAAGGCGACGAUCGGUAGCUGGUCUGAGAGGAUGAGCAGCCACACUGGAACUGAGACACGGUCCAGACUCCUACGGGAGGCAGCAGUGGGGAAUUUUCCGCAAUGGGCGAAAGCCUGACGGAGCAACGCCGCGUGGGGGAAGAAGGUUUUUGGAUUGUAAACCCCUUUUCUCAAGGAAGAACAAAAUGACGGUACUUGAGGAAUCAGCCUCGGCUAACUCCGUGCCAGCAGCCGCGGUAAUACGGAGGAGGCAAGCGUUAUCCGGAAUUAUUGGGCGUAAAGCGUUCGUAGGCGGCUGUUCAAGUCUGCUGUCAAAGACCGAGGCUCAACCUCGGGUAGGCAGUGGAAACUGGAUAGCUAGAGGUCGGUAGGUGCAGAGGGAAUUCCCAGUGUAGCGGUGAAAUGCGUAGAUAUUGGGAAGAACACCGGUGGCAAAAGCGCUCUGCUGGGCCGAACCUGACGCUGAGGGACGAAAAGCUAGGGGAGCGAAUGGGAUUAGAUACCCC
rnacentral:rRNA from 1 species